GCUUGUCUCAAAGAUUAAGCCAUGCAUGUCUAAGUAUAAACAAAUCUAUACGUGAAACUGCGAAUGGCUCAUUAUAUCAGUUAUAGUUUAUUUGAUGGUCCUUACUACUUGGAUAACCGUAGUAAUUCUAGAGCUAAUACACGACUCAAACCCCGACUCACGAAGGGGUGUGUUUAUUAGAUGGAAACCAAUGCGGGGCAACCCGGAUUUCUGGUGAUUCAUAAUAACCCUCCGAUCGGCUUUGCCGACGCAUCAUUCAAGUUUCUGCCCUAUCAGCUUUGGAUGGUAGGGUAUUGGCCUACCAUGGCUUUAACGGGUAACGGAGAAUUAGGGUUCGAUUCCGGAGAGGGAGCCUGAGAAAUGGCUACCACAUCCAAGGAAGGCAGCAGG
rnacentral:rRNA from 1 species